GGAAAACAUGCCAUGGAUGCAUUUUGCAAUAUGCAGGCGACAACAAUCCUGUCUCUGUGUCAGGGCUUCAUUUUCUAGUUUGUGGAUCUUUUUGGUGAGUAGAGAUUGAUAAAUGUCUCUCAAAAGAGGGUGUCAGUUUUUCUUAUUAAUCUGCAUUAUAACAAAAAAAAACUAAAUGUAUCAUCUAUUAGCCAAUGAAAAGUCCACAAAAUAGGGAAAUGGCCAACACUAGUUCUAAGAGUCCAAGGGGACGUUUUAAAAUAUCUUAUUCUGUCUGAUCAACAGUCCUAAACCUAAAGAUAUUCAAAGUGAAAUUACGCGAAACACAGAAAAGCAACAUAUCAUCUCAUUUUCUAAGCUUGAACUAGAAAAUAUUUGCCUUUUUCUAUAUAAAAUGAACGAUUAACCCGUUCAUUUGCUGCUAAUUGAUUAAUCAAAUAAUUGUUUUAGCUCUAAACAUAAUGCAUGUUCAGCACAACCCAGCUUGUUCUACUAAUGAAUGAAAUGAAAACCAUACAGAGCUGCUGCUUUUUUAAUAAUAGUCAAACAUAGUGUUGAGCCCCCUCCCCACCCUGAUCAUUAGUUAACAGUCCCAAAUCACUUAAGCACAAAUGCAAAAAUUCAACUUCUGUGUGUUUUUUAUUCUGCUGUUUUUUGUUUGUUUUUUAUUGCAGGAGUAAUAAGAUCUCCCGAUUUAAAACCAAAGAAGUUCAUUUGUUGUUUAUUUGUGGAGUCUCUUCAGUUCCCAUCAUCCAACUGGUUAGAUGUGUGCACAGCAACAGGCAGCAGGUUUGAACUAUCAGUUUUCCAUGACUGUGGAAUCAUCAUGAACGUGAGUGGUACCUGUACGGCAGAGAUGCCGUAUGGAUACCAACCCCGCUUUAAAGGGCUUUACAUCGCCACUGAGCUCAUCAUCGCCGUGCUGGCCAUCAUUGGCAACUUCCUGGUUUGCCUGGCUGUCACCCGCAACAAGAAACUUCGCACUGUCACCAACUACUUCCUGGUGAGGAAACCUGUUUCUGGAACAUAGGACUCUUAUCACAAUCUACUAAUACAUUGUUUGGGAAAUCUACAAGCGGAUAUCUAAAGGACCAAAAGUGUGUUUCACUCUGUAUGCGUGUGUGUGAAGGUGUCAUUGGCAGUGGCGGACAUCCUGGUGGGAUUGGUGGCCAUUCCCUGUGCAGUGCUGACAGACCUGGGUCAACCUCGCCAUAACCUGCCCCUCUGCCUGGUGAUGCUCAGCAUGCUGAUAGUGCUCACACAGGUAGGAGCAUUUAUCUGGUGACUGAUUGCAGGGGGAUUUCUGCAGGGCAAAAGCACCGCCUGUACAUAAUCUGUGUUACUUGGACCAAGAAUCCCUGCAGAGAUUCAAAUUCUAUAGAGUUCCUUAUGAAGUUUAGGGACUGUAAAAUGAUUAGGGUAGGGACGAGGGCUGAAACUUGUUUCACAAAAAGCAAGAGGUUCUUCAGCGUUAUCAAGAUAUAUGACCCACUGCACACCAUAUCCUCUAAUAACUAUAAAUAAUACAACUGUAUUGAAUUUGUUCCAACAUUAAUAACUAAAAGUGUAUAAAGAAUUGAAGAAUAUAAG
rnacentral:lncRNA from 15 species